CCAAUAGCGUAUAUUAAAGUUGUUGCAGUUAAAAAGCUCGUAGUUGAACUUCAGGCCUGUCCAGAUGGUCCGCCUUAAUUGGUGUGUACUGUCCUUGGGUGGGUCCUACCUUCUGGCGAAGCGGCAUGGCCUUAGUUGGUUGUGUCGGGGAACCAGGACUUUUACUGUGAAAAAAUUAGAGUGUUCAAAGCAGGCAUAUAUGCUCGAAUACAUUAGCAUGGAAUAAUGGAAUAGGACGAUGGUUCUAUUUUGUUGGUUCUAGGACCGUUGUAAUGAUUAAUAGGGAUAGUUGGGGGCAUUAGUAUUCAAUUGUCAGAGGUGAAAUUCUUGGAUUUAUUGAAGACUAACUACUGCGAAAGCAUUUGCCAAGGAUGUUUUCAUUAAUCAAGAACGAAAGUUAGGGGAUCGAAGACGAUCAGAUACCGUCGUAGUCUUAACCAUAAACUAUGCCGACUAGGAAUCGGGCGAUGUUGACAAAAUGACUCGCUCGGCACCUCAUG
rnacentral:rRNA from 1 species